GACGAACGCUGGCGGCGUGCUUUACACAUGCAAGUCGAACGGAAAGGCCCUGCUUUUGUGGGGUGCUCGAGUGGCGAACGGGUGAGUAACACGUGAGUAACCUGCCCGUGACUUUGGGAUAACUUCAGGAAACUGGGGCUAAUACCCGAUAGGAGCUCCUGCUGCAUGGUGGGGGUUGGAAAGUUUCGGCGGUUGGGGAUGGACUCGCGGCUUAUCAGCUUGUUGGUGGGGUAGUGGCUUACCAAGGCUUUGACGGGUAGCCGGCCUGAGAGGGUGACCGGCCACAUUGGGACUGAGAUACGGCCCAGACUCCUACGGGAGGCAGCAGUGGGGAAUAUUGCACAAUGGGCGGAAGCCUGAUGCAGCAACGCCGCGUGCGGGAUGACGGCCUUCGGGUUGUAAACCGCUUUCGCCUGUGACGAAGCGUGAGUGACGGUAAUGGGUAAAGAAGCACCGGCUAACUACGUG
rnacentral:rRNA from 1 species